rnacentral:rRNA from 1 species
AACGAACGCUGGCGGCAUGCCUAACACAUGCAAGUCGAACGAGACCUUCGGGUCUAGUGGCGCACGGGUGCGUACGGCGUGGGAACUUGCCUUAGGGUUGGGAUUAAUUCCCCGAAGGGGGUCCUAUUCCCGGUAAAUUCUUUCGGCCAAAAGAUUUAUCGCCUUUGGAUGGGCCCGCGUUGGAUUAGCUAGUUGGUAGGGUAAAAGCCUACCAAGGCGACGAUCCAUAGCUGGUCUGAGAGGAUGAUCAGCCACACUGGGACUGAGACACGGCCCAGACUCCUACGGGAGGCAGCAGUGGGGAAUAUUGGACAAUGGGCGAAAGCCUGAUCCAGCAAUGCCGCGUGAGUGAUGAAGGCCUUAGGGUUGUAAAGCUCUUUUACCCGGGAUGAUAAUGACAGUACCGGGAGAAUAAGCUCCGGCUAACUCCGUG